UACAGAGGGUGCAAGCGUUGUUCGGAAUUAUUGGGCGUAAAGGGCGCGUAGGCGGAUAUUUAAGUCAGGGGUGAAAUCCCAGAGCUCAACUCUGGAACUGCCUUUGAUACUGGGUAUCUUGAGUAUGGAAGAGGUAAGUGGAAUUGCGAGUGUAGAGGUGAAAUUCGUAGAUAUUCGCAGGAACACCAGUGGCGAAGGCGGCUUACUGGUCCAUAACUGACGCUGAGGUGCGAAAGCGUGGGGAGCAAACAGG
rnacentral:rRNA from 1 species